rnacentral:misc_RNA from 1 species
ACUAAAAUUCUGUGAUUUCCUUCCACACAACAGCCAUAUAGCUUAACUAAAUUCUCAUGCUCUAUUUCUGAGAUCACAUUAAUCUCUGUUAAGAAUUCUUUCACUCCUUGUCUUGAUUCAGCAGAAAGAACUUUUAUAGCCGCAAUUCUCCCAUCUUUAAGCUUUCCCUUGUACACUGAACCAAAACCACCCUCACCAAUUUUAUUGGCCGUACUAAAAUCUUCAGUAGCAUUUCUUAAUUCCUUGUAAGU